rnacentral:rRNA from 1 species
GACGAACGCUGGCGGCGUGCCUAAUACAUGCAAGUAGAACGCUGAAGGAGGAGCUUGCUUCUCCGGAUGAGUUGCGAACGGGUGAGUAACGCGUAGGUAACCUGCCUGGUAGCGGGGGAUAACUAUUGGAAACGAUAGCUAAUACCGCAUAACAGUAGAUAUCGCAUGAUAUCUGCUUGAAAGGUGCAAUUGCAUCACUACCAGAUGGACCUGCGUUGUAUUAGCUAGUUGGUGAGGUAACGGCUCACCAAGGCGACGAUACAUAGCCGACCUGAGAGGGGGAUCGGCCACACUGGGACUGGGACACGGCCCAGACUCCUACGGGAGGGAGCAGAAGGGAAUCUUCGGCAAUGGACGGAAGUCUGACCGAGCAACGCCGCGGGAGUGAAGAAGGGUUUCGGAUCGUAAAGCUCGGUUGUAAGAGAAGAACGAGUGUGAGAGUGGAAAGUUCACACUGUGACGGUAUCUUACCAGAAAGGGACGGCUAACUACGUG